GACGAACGCUUGCGGCGUGCUUAACACAUGCAAGUCGAACGGAAAGGCCCUGCUUUUGUGGGGUGCUCGAGUGGCGAACGGGUGGGUAACACGUGAGUAACCUGCCCUUGACUUUGGGAUAACUUCAGGAAACUGGGGCUAAUACCGGAUAGGAGCUCCUGCUGCAUGGUGGGGGUUGGAAAGUUUCGGCGGUUGGGGAUGGACUCGCGGCUUAUCAGCUUGUUGGUGGGGUAGUGGCUUACCAAGGCUUUGACGGGUAGCCGGCCUGAGAGGGUGACCGGCCACAUUGGGACUGAGAUACGGCCCAGACUCCUACGGGAGGCAGCAGUGGGGAAUAUUGCACAAUGGGCGGAAGCCUGAUGCAGCAACGCCGCGUGCGGGAUGACGGCCUUCGGGUUGUAAACCGCUUUCGCCUGUGACGAAGCGUGAGUGACGGUAAUGGGUAAAGAAGCACCGGCUAACUACGUGCCAGCAGCCGCGGUGAUACGUAGGGUGCGAGCGUUGUCCGGAUUUAUUGGGCGUAAAGGGCUCGUAGGUGGUUGAUCGCGUCGGAAGUGUAAUCUUGGGGCUUAACCCUGAGCGUGCUUUCGAUACGGGUUGACUUGAGGAAGGUAGGGGAGAAUGGAAUUCCUGGUGGAGCGGUGGAAUGCGCAGAUAUCAGGAGGAACACCAGUGGCGAAGGCGGUUUUCUGGGCCUUUCCUGACGCUGAGGAGCGAAAGCGUGGGGAGCGAACAGGCUUAGAUACCCUGGUAGUCCACGCUGUAAACGGUGGGUACUAGGUGUGGGGUCCAUUCCACGGGUUCCGUGCCGUAGCUAACGCUUUAAGUACCCCGCCUGGGGAGUACGGCCGCAAGGCUAAAACUCAAAUGAAUUGACGGGGCCCCGCACAAGCGGCGGAGCAUGCGGAUUAAUUCGAUGCAACGCGUAGAACCUUACCUGGGUUUGACAUGGAUCGGGAGUGCUCAGAGAUGGGUGUGCCUCUUUUGGGGUCGGUUCACAGGUGGUGCAUGGCUGUCGUCAGCUCGUGUCGUGAGAUGUUGGGUUAAGUCCCGCAACGAGCGCAACCCUUGUUCACUGUUGCCAGCACGUUAUGGUGGGGACUCAGUGGAGACCGCCGGGGUCAACUCGGAGGAAGGUGGGGAUGACGUCAAGUCAUCAUGCCCCUUAUGUCCAGGGCUUCACGCAUGCUACAAUGGCUGGUACAGAGAGUGGCGAGCCUGUGAGGGUGAGCGAAUCUCGGAAAGCCGGUCUCAGUUCGGAUUGGGGUCUGCAACUCGACCUCAUGAAGUCGGAGCCGCUAGUAAUCGCAGAUCAGCAACGCUGCGGUGAAUACGUUCCCGGG
rnacentral:rRNA from 1 species